CUGAGAGACAGCCCCGAAUCAGAGGCGCAGGGAGGAAGAGCGGGUCCUGGGCUUAGUUUCCUGCUUGAGAGGCAUCAUCAGAAGAAGACCCCCAGGAGAAGAGGCGGGACUGACUGAGGUGGCCUGCUUGGAGUGAGGUGAUGGAGAGGGGACAGAACCCCCUGCAGCCCGCUCCCCACCCAGGCCUGAGCCUUUGCCUGGACGCUGGCUCUCCACCUCCCUCCAGGGAUAUGAGGCCUGGCUCACCCCGCUUGCCCCACCCCGGGACAGACCGAUGGCAGGCAACCCGGGGCUUCUGAGGACCCUCCCCAUGGAGUUCCACCCCAAGCCUUUCCCUGCCCAGGGCUCCCAGAGAUCUGAGGCAUUGAGGCAGAGGGUCACCCCUGUUGCCCGUGUUUUUCCCAGGCCUUGACCCACGGGGGAGUCGUCCUGUGCUUCAGCAUUCUCCGCCACCCACAUCUACUUCCUGACUACCAGCUCUGUACCGGCUACCUCUGGGCACCUCCCCCCCAACACUCCACAGAGCUCUCAAACUGAGCUCCUCAGGCUCCCCAAUCCCGGCCACCCGCUGCGGAAGGCUCUGCGGCCCACAGGGUCCAUGAGGUGGAAACCGCAGCAUCGUGCUGGGGCUUCAUUCACCCACGGUGCACCAUGGCGCCAUCCUCCCUCCACGACAGGGGCACCUUUCCCAGAAGCCGCUGAGGGCUGUCAGGCCACAGCAGAAGCUAGGACGUCUGCCUCAGGGGUUCCUCUGCUGCCCUCUCAGGGGUGGGUGGGCUCUGCCCCCCAGCUGUCCUGCUUCCUCUCCCAGUGGGCCACUGGGCUGCAGAGCAGCAAACAAGAGAGGCUCUCGGCCUUCGCCAUCAAAGGCGUCCCCUACUCUCUCUGCCCUCUCUGCAUAGCCGUCCCGGCCAGCACUGAGCAUCCCCCAGGGGCCAGCAGAGAAGGUGGACACGAUGCGGGGGGCCUGGCCUCCUGUCUUUUGUGGAGGAGACUGAGCCUCUGGUCCCCAGCCACUCUUAUAAGAAAGGGAACCAUCAAAAUGAGUCAAUAUAUGUAAAGUGGUAGGAGAAUGCACGACUGUUAGUGAGAGCUCAAUAUGUUUAUUUCCAUCAUGGUAUAAUUUAAUCCUGACAACAACCCUGUGAGGUCAGUACUAUGCUCCCAUUUUAUAGGUGAGAAAAGUGAGGCGGAGAGAGGGGAAGCCACACGUCUAAACUGAUGCAGCAUUAAGUGGCUGCACAGGGAUCCGAACCACUGGAAGCUUGUGUUCUAAGCCACCGUGCAUGUGCACCAGGACUGGCCUGGCCCGGCACGCCUGGGGGCCAGCUUCGGAUGUACACACCCACACACACACACUCUCUUGGGCUGCUCCCACCGCUGCAGGAUGGCACGGGAGGCUGUGCCCGGACGACAGCGAGGCUGAACUGGGGUCCCGGGGCGGAGCCUUCGCGGCCCAGCCCACCUUCCCCCGCGCGGCGCCCGCGCCCCCAACCUCGGGGGCCUCCUGUUUGGGCUCCAGGGACGCACGGGUGCCACCUGGUGGCGACGUAGGGUAAACGCCACCGCUGUCCCAGCCACGCAUCGCCGCGCUCAGCGCGCGCUCCCUGCCGCCCGUUUGGCUAAGGUGUGUAGUGAUUCGGCCAAAAGAACGAUCUCCAGAACACGGAAUUCCCUUUCCUUCCCGCCCAGCUUCCUCCAGGGAUGGGGAAAUGAGUGUAAAGCCUUGUGUUGCUGCGCUUGGGCUGCCGGUGAUUUGGGGGCAGGUAUUGUGGCAGCAAGCUCAUUUUACUGAAAAGUGAAAAAUAUUGUAUGUUGCCUCAAACUUCCUCUCCUUUCUCUGUUCCUGCACACAGGUGGCAGGUUAUUCCAGAGCCGCUCUCCCAGCUGAGCUUCGUGCUGGACAGCUCAGCCCCAGCUCUGACCUUCUCCCCUACUCUCUCUCCCAGCUGGAUCCAGCCCCUGUGCCUGGGCAGCCUCGUGCAUCUCCCCCGGGGCAUUUGGCAGUCCCCCCCCAAUAGAAUCUGCCCCCAACCCAACUUCCCGCCAACCUGCCCAGGCAGGUGUGGCCAAGCCUCGCUGUCUGCGUGACCGUCAAGGGGCAGGGGCUACAGGUUUCACUCUUCAUUCAACACGUGCUGUCAAAUGUCGCCAGACACAGUCCUACAGCCUGAGGAUACAGCAGUGACCAAUAACCAUGCCCCCGAGGACAUUCUAGGGGGGAGGGGGCAAAUAAUACAGGAAUAAAUAAGAAACAAACAAGUA
ensembl:lncRNA